CAUGCGGACAAGGACAGAGCUCAUUUUGGCUUAUUUUGAUGCUGUUUGGUGCACGGACAAGACAAUGUGUACACCCUUUUCCAGUGAUUUGCGUAAGGAGAAUCAUACUGUGCCUGGAUCUCCGACCUAUAACGGGCAAUAGAGGAAAAUAUCUAUUUUGCCAAACAUUGUAUUUCGUUUUUUACGCAUAGGUCAUAUGCUAGACUUACUCUGCGGCGAAUGAUUGUGGAAGUUGUAAAUGAACAAGCACCCUUGACAACGAGACCCUGAAGUCGCUUUUCUGGAUCGGGGCCAACUACUAUCAUCCCGUCGACCUCCCAAACACCAAUGAACUGAACUGGAGGGAGACUAUAAUUAGGUGUUUGGAGAUCGUCGCGUCCCAAUCCAGACAGCAGCCAGACCCAGAGCAAGCUUCUACACCAUCAACCACAGAGAUGUCACGUGAGCCCCCUGCAGACCGAGCGGCACCACCCACAGCGACGAGCAAGCCAGAUCCCGAGGAAAACAGAACAGAGCUUGGCAUCCCCCCGCAUGUAGUGCCCCAAUGUGGUCCUGACCAGGGGUGUGAGCCCGUGACACCAGUGUACGAGGGAACGAAAGCAGAGGACUGGCUGAUCGACUUCGACAGGGACAACUCCCACCUGAUCCCACCCAAUAUCUGAAUCUUCAUAGUUGUUUAAGGACACCAUCAUGUCUAGUCUCCUGUCACUUCCACCACCACAGAGCUCAGCCAGACCUCCAGCCCCAUCGCUUCUGGAUGAUCACAGUCCUGUGCCGUCUCUGGGGAUGCCCCGCCAGGACAUUGAGCCACAGGUCAAGCAACCACCAGUUCCUUUGUUCUGUUUCCUGCCACUCGUCCGUCUCCCUGGUUACCAUCGUUAUUAGUUCAUAUGUGUCAGCUGUGUGUUAGUCAUUAUCCUCAUUAUGUCCACUACUUAAGUUGUACCUUCACCUUCAGUCACUGUCUGAUCUAUGUUGCCUUAUGUUGUGUUUAUCCUGCCUGUCUGCUUGUUUUGAUUCUUGUAAUUAAACCUGGAGUAUUUUGAUCUAUUCGUCUGUCUUCAUCUUUUUGCCUGAACACAACUGUUACAGAGUGAUUGUUUUUACAGUUUUUUGAAAAUGUAAAAAUUCAGAAAGUUUUCUGUGAUGGUUUGUACAGUAUAAACAUUAUGUCUAUGGAAUGUCCCCAUAAAACAUGAAAACCCAAUGUGUGUGUUUUCAUUUGUUUCAUAAGGCUAGACACCUAAUACAAGUUAAAACAUACAGAUGUGAAUGCUUGACCAACAACGCAUUGCAAGUGUGAAAUCCUGUUGUACACUUAAGUGUUCUUGCAUUAUUGUGAGAAAUCUCAGUACUCAAGACAUGAUAGUUACCUUCAGAUGUCUGUGCCACACAGCUAGCAUGUGUUAUAGUCACCUGUCGUUCUAUUAAUUAACUAAUUUAGCCUGUGUAUAUAUACUUCUGGUCUUGUCUUUGUUAAAUGGUUGCUGUUUUGUUCCUGCUACCUGUGAUCUGUUGGAUUUUUUUUAAUUAAAAGACUUCUCAAUGCG